rnacentral:rRNA from 1 species
CCCGAAGCCGGUGGAGUAACCUUUUAGGAGCUAGCCGUCGAAGGUGGGACAAAUGAUUGGGGUGAAGUCGUAACAAGGUAGCCGUAUCGGAGGGUGCGGCUGGAUCACCUCCUUU